GUGCGCGGCCGUGGUGGCUUGGAGAAUGCGCAACGAUGGCGCCUUGGAGCUCCUCUGUUGUCGUCCGAUCUGGCCGCCCGCCCAGCGCUCCAGAUCGGGCCAAUAUCCUCCCGGCAAGGCUUCCUCCAUCCUCCCGUCCGAGGAACGGCGACCGCCUUCUCACCCUCAGCAGCGGCCGUAGCCAUCUCCGCCGCCGUCCCGGACGGACGACAGGGCUAGGACUGGCGGAGGCCGAAGAUGGCUGCCGGCGGCGCAUGACCGAAUGGGCGCGUGCGUCUAGAUAAGAUACACAAAUAAAGGAUUGUGGGUUGAAUUCUAACUAAUGCAGGUGUGUUUCUCCCUGCCUCUCCUCCUUCCUUUCUGUCCCCCUUACCUCUGUCUCUCUCACAGGUGCAGCACCGCCGUCGCCAUGGAGAGACCCUGUCGGAGCUCGCCAUGUCGAUCGAAACCGGCGAGGAACGCCACCGCCAUGAACUUGGAGUUCAAACCCCGCCGCUGGACCUCCUCCCGCGCCUCCUAGAUCGCCUCCACGCCGUACUUGCAACAGGAUCCGGCCACCGCCGCGCCUCCUCGGCCGGAUCUGGCCGGAGAUCGCCGCCGCCGUGCCCGGCGUCGUCUGCAUCGCGGCAGUCUCGACAUCCAACUCGCUUCGCUCGCCAAUAACCACUUUGUUGAAUAUAAAAAACACAGGGUCCUUUUUGUAAGAACGACACGUUUUCUCACAAUAGCACUUCAGAUUGUACUGCGGGUUGAAUAUCCAAAAUAGGUGGGACUUUUUUUUUAAAUUGCCACGACGGACGACCAGAAGCAAUGCGUGGUUUAUUAGUAGGGAAAGAAAUAUAUAUAGUAAAUUAACAAACAAA
rnacentral:lncRNA from 1 species